CAUUACGGUGGCGUCCCUCGGAGCCGCGCGGCAGCUGCAGAGGUGAUCUGAAGCAUGGAGAAGAUACCUGUCCUGGGCCUGGGCACCUGGAAGGUGGCCCCAGGGGAAGUGACGGAGGCGGUCAAAGUGGUGAUAGACGCGGGCUUGUACCACAACGAGAAUGAGGUUGGAGUGGGGAUCCAGUGCAAGGUCAAGGAGGGCAUGGUGAGGCGGAAGGACCUGUUUAUUGUCAGCAAGAUCGAGUGCCACCCAUACCUGACUCAGAAGAACCUGAUCAGUUUUUGCCAAUGGAGAAAUGUGUCCAUGACUGCUUACCGGCCCCUCGGGGGCUCCAGUGAGGGGGGUGCACCUGAUGGAAGACCCUGUGAUCCAGAUGAUCUUUCAGCAGCACAAGAAGUCUGCAGCUCAGAGUUUGAUCCGAUUUCAGAUCCAGAGGAAUGUGAUAGUGAUUCCCAAAUCCGUCAACCCAAAGCGGAUUCUUGAGAAUAUCCAAGAAAGCGUUUCCUCCUUUUGAAUCGGCAUCGGAGGGUUUGUCAUCACCUGCUAGCUUGGGGCAGGAGGUGUGCUGACCGCCGGAGCCAGCAUCCCCGUCCCCUGCGGCUUUGACACCAGGGGCAGGAUGAGGCCUCAGGUGUUUGAUUUUGAAUUAUCAGAACAGGAUAUGACUGACCUCCUCCACCCGGACAGGAAUCUCCAUUUGUCUACAUUCCCCAUAACUGAAAACCACAAGGACUAUCCCUUCAAAGCAGAGUACUGAGGCCCUCCUUGGCCGGGACAAAUCCUCGCCGAGGCACAGGCAGCUCUGGUCAGGGAUGCUGGGACACAGUUGGAUUUGGGUGA